CACGACUCCGGUCAAAGACAUUUUCAAGGGCAAGAAGGUCGUCAUCUUUGGGCUUCCUGGUGCAUAUACAGGAGUUUGUUCCCAGCAGCACGUUCCUAGUUACAAGAAUAAAAUUGAUGACUUCAAGGCUAAAGGAAUUGAUUCUGUUAUUUGUGUGUCUGUUAAUGAUCCAUAUACUCUCAAUGGCUGGGCUGAGAAACUUGAAGCGAAAGAUGCUAUACAAUUUUUUGGGGACUUCGAUGGGAGAUUUCACAAGAGCCUGGAACUGGAUAAAGAUCUUUCUGCUGCUUUGCUGGGCCCCCGUUCUCAAAGAUGGUCAGCAUAUGUUGUAGAUGGAAAAGUUAAGGCUCUUAACAUAGAGGAAGCUCCAUCUGACUUUAAGGUUACUGGGGCAGAGGUCAUUUUGAAGCAAAUUUAGAGUCAGUUUCCAUAGCCAACCAACAAAAGCUCUUGGGUUCCGAAUAAGAUCAUGUGUGUAAAUGAG
rnacentral:misc_RNA from 1 species